CAAGUGUGCACCUUGUGUUGCUUACUUCAGGAAGGCACUAAGGUCCCAUCUGUUGAUUACUUAUCGUUCCGCAUUCCUAAAGCUUUUUUCUGUCUGCAAAUUUGUAGUAGUCUUCUGGUUGCUAUGGCAAUUAAAUUACACCAAACAAAAUGAUUUGGUUUUUAUUUCCAGAUGCUAAGAAAGCAGUAUGUAGACAAAGUUGAGAAACUGGGGCUGUUUUCAAAUGAGUGAACUGCCAAAUCGCAUCUCUGUUGAAACUGAAGACAGCUUACGCUAUGAACAGUAUUUUUGUACUUAGAAUAACUUCUUAAAUAAAGUUCCAAGUAUAUAGAAGGCAUGCACAAAGAACCUUUAAAUCUCUGUUUCCAGGAUUUCUGUUACAUCUAGUUUUAUUUUCUGACAACCUUUAAUUUCCUUUCAGAAUAAUCACUGGAUGGUCUAUGCAUUGAUUCUGCUCUAGCUUAUCACCCUCACUGCUAUGAGCCAAGAUCAAGAGAGAUCUCAGGAUGGGAGUGUCCUGGAGCUCCUGCCACUGUGUCCUUCUUGCUUUUAAACCCAUGGCAAUGAAAAGCCUCCCUGCAGCCACAGAGGUGGUGGUGGAGAGCCUGCAUGCCGGACCACCUUCUGCUGUCCCGUCUUGCUCCCAAAGGUCCACAAAUUGGAUUAGAGAAACUGACCCUAUGUCAUGGCCCUGGUGACCAUGACUGUCUAUAAUCCUUCUGUGAACCUAAUGAUACAACUCUCACUUUUAGAAUAUUGUAGCAAACUCAAUAUGCAAGUCUUAUAAAAACUGCACAAAAAAUGUCCGAUCUUUGCUACAUAUGGAAGGGAAAUUGUGAAGCAUAAUAAAUCUAAGGUACAAAGAUCAUUAAACUAGAGACACUACAUGAAAAAAAGAAAAAGAUUUCAAGACAAAGUAUAUUUUGGUGGAAGUCUGCACCUCUCCAUCACUUGUGAAAGUGCAAACAAUCCCUUUUCAUCUGAUUUAAAAGUCAGUACUCACUCUUAGUUAUUUUGCCACUGUGUCAUUCCAGACAGACCACUGUGAAUGAUGAAUGCAGGCAGAGAAAUGGGGCACAAUUCUAGAAAUAGUUUUAAACUCUUCUAGUCCUCUAUAUAGAAAUUUGUCUUAGUGAUGUUACUUCUAGUGUGAAGUUAACCAACACCUAGGUAUUGGAAUCAAAUUAUAACAAAGACACCUCCUCUUGCUAAGCAUAACCACUGAUUAAUGACAGAAGAGUACCAAAUGUUUUAUUUGUCCCUCCUUCCAUUCCCUAAACUUGUUAAGCAAAAAGACUUCCAGAGCAGAUUUCAAAUGCACACGUCCCAGGAGGAGUUGUACCAGCAGAGAGAGAGCUGUGCUUUCCAACCCGUACCAAUUGGAAAUGAUGCUCUGAGCAUCUGUGCUAUGACUGGUCAUUAAAAUGUUCCAGAUUCUGAUUUAAGUCUGCAAAGCUACUUCCAUUUUCCUAAGUAUCUUUCAGAUUUGCUGCAAAGAAUGCAAGUAGACCCCAAAACAUUAUUUUUAACAAAAGGAAAGAAAUCCCCUUCUUAGGCUGUUGGUCUGCAAGGGCUUGGAAUGGUUGAGAAUCUCCAGUGAUUUCACAGAUAAUCCAUACGUUUGUAUAGUUCACUGUAUCAAGCAGAGCUGAAUUUCCAAGCCAAAUUACACACGUCUAUUUUUUAAACAGAAUUUAGUUGCUUUUUUAAAAAUCUAUUCAAAAGGGAUAUUCUGUCACUGAAUAAUUAAAUGGGAAUACCUUCUGAGUUUAACAGAGGGUUGGAUUUCGUCUUCUAUCUAAUGUAAAAUCUGCAAUGACAGCAGGAACGAUUUCACACCAAUACAACAGUCUACAUUUUUAUGCACAAUGCUAUAGAAAUUGAGGUCACAGUCUCCAUAGAGCUAUAGAGGGAUACUUGUGUUGUUGAAUUUCACUGCAAAUGGAAAGGAUUUAUGCCAUGAUCAGAAGUGUAGCUCUUUCCAGAG
rnacentral:lncRNA from 1 species